CACGUAGGCACCAAGCGUUGUCCGGAAUUACUGGGCGUAAAGGGCGCGUAGGCGGCCUUCUAAGUCGAACGUGAAAUCCCCGGGCUCAACCCGGGAACUGCGUCCGAUACUGGAAGGCUUGAAUCCGGGAGAGGGAUGUGGAAUUCCAGGUGUAGCGGUGAAAUGCGUAGAUAUCUGGAGGAACACCGGUGGCGAAGGCGACAUCCUGGACCGGUAUUGACGCUGAGGCGCGAAAGCCAGGGGAGCAAACGGG
rnacentral:rRNA from 1 species